rnacentral:rRNA from 1 species
GAUGAACGCUGGCGGCGUGCCUAAUACAUGCAAGUCGAGCGAACGGACGAGAAGCUUGCUUCUCUGAUGUUAGUGGCGGACGGGUGAGUAACACGUGGAUAACCUACCUAUAAGACUGGGAUAACUUCGGGAAACCGGAGCUAAUACCGGAUGAUAUUUUGAACCGCAUGGUUCAAAAGUGAAAGACGGUCUUGCUGUCACUUAUAGAUGGAUCCGCGCUGCAUUAGCUAGUUGGUAAGGUAACGGCUUACCAAGGCAACGAUGCAUAGCCGACCUGAGAGGGUGAUCGACCACACUGGAACUGAGACACGGUCCAGACUCCUACGGGAGGCAGCAGUAGGGAAUCUUCCGCAAUGGGCGAAAGCCUGACGGAGCAACGCCGCGUGAGUGAUGAAGGUCUUCGGAUCGUAAAACUCUGUUAUUAGGGAAGAACAUAUGUGUAAGUAACUGUGCACAUCUUGACGGUACCUAAUCAGGAAGCCACGGCUAACUACGUG